GGCGAACGCUGGCGGCGUGCUUAACACAUGCAAGUCGAACGGAAAGGCCCUGCUUUUGUGGGGUGCUCGAGUGGCGAACGGGUGAGUAACACGUGAGUAACCUGCCCUUGACUUUGGGAUAACUUCAGGAAACUGGGGCUAAUACCGGAUAGGAGCUCCUGCUGCAUGGUGGGGGUUGGAAAGUUUCGGCGGUUGGGGAUGGACUCGCGGCUUAUCAGCUUGUUGGUGGGGUAGUGGCUUACCAAGGCUUUGACGGGUAGCCGGCCUGAGAGGGUGACCGGCCACAUUGGGACUGAGAUACGGCCCAGACUCCUACGGGAGGCAGCAGUGGGGAAUAUUGCACAAUGGGCGGAGGCCUGAUGCAGCAACGCCGCGUGCGGGAUGACGGCCUUCGGGUUGUAAACCGCUUUCGCCUGUGACGAAGCGUGAGUGACGGUAAUGGGUAAAGAAGCACCGGCUAACUACGUGCCAGCAGCCGCGGUGAUACGUAGGGUGCGAGCGUUGUCCGGAUUUAUUGGGCGUAAAGGGCUCGUAGGUGGUUGAUCGCGUCGGAAGUGUAAUCUUGGGGCUUAACCCUGAGCGUGCUUUCGAUACGGGUUGACUUGAGGAAGGUAGGGGAGAAUGGAAUUCCUGGUGGAGCGGUGGAAUGCGCAGAUAUCAGGAGGAACACCAGUGGCGAAGGCGGUUCUCUGGGCCUUUCCUGACGCUGAGGAGCGAAAGCGUGGGGAGCGAACAGGCUUAGAUACCCUGGUAGUCCACGCUGUAAACGGUGGGUACUAGGUGUGGGGUCCAUUCCACGGGUUCCGUGCCGUAGCUAACGCUUUAAGUACCCCGCCUGGGGAGUACGGCCGCAAGGCUAAAACUCAAAGGAAUUGACGGGGCCCCGCACAAGCGGCGGAGCAUGCGGAUUAAUUCGAUGCAACGCGUAGAACCUUACCUGGGUUUGACAUGGAUCGGGAGUGCUCAGAGAUGGGUGUGCCUCUUUUGGGGUCGGUUCACAGGUGGUGCAUGGCUGUCGUCAGCUCGUGUCGUGAGAUGUUGGGUUAAGUCCCGCAACGAGCGCAACCCUUGUUCACUGUUGCCAGCACGUUAUGGUGGGGACUCAGUGGAGACCGCCGGGGUCAACUCGGAGGAAGGUGGGGAUGACGUCAAGUCAUCAUGCCCCUUAUGUCCAGGGCUUCACGCAUGCUACAAUGGCUGGUACAGAGAGUGGCGAGCCUGUGAGGGUGAGCGAAUCUCGGAAAGCCGGUCUCAGUUCGGAUUGGGGUCUGCAACUCGACCUCAUGAAGUCGGAGUCGCUAGUAAUCGCAGAUCAGCAACGCUGCGGUGAAUACGUUCCCGGG
rnacentral:rRNA from 1 species